UACGUAGGUGGCAAGCGUUGUCCGGAAUUAUUGGGCGUAAAGCGCGUGUAGGCGGUCCGGUAAGUCCGCUGUGAAAGUCGGGGGCUCAACCCUCGGAUGCCGGUGGAUACUGUCGGGCUUGAGUACGGAAGAGGCGAGUGGAAUUCCUGGUGUAGCGGUGAAAUGCGCAGAUAUCAGGAGGAACACCAAUUGCGAAGGCAGCUCGCUGGGACGUUACUGACGCUGAGACGCGAAAGCGUGGGGGGCAAACAGG
rnacentral:rRNA from 1 species